rnacentral:snRNA from 1 species
GGACGUGAGGGUGAUCUGGCUGGCUGUCCACUUCCUCCCUCACCACUCCAUAUGUGUCCCUCCUAAAGCAUCACGGUGGAAGAGGAAGGCCUUCCCCGAAACAGAGACUGAGGGGCCUUUGGUCAAGGGUAUAUGAGUAGCUGUGCUUCCCUGCUAGAACCUCCAAACAAGCUCUCAAGACUAUGCAGAAGACCAAGAAGAUAGUACAGAAGUAGCACACCAAACUUUCUUGCCUAACACCCAAAAUGCUCAAAUUU